CUAGACAGAGAAGAAAAGGAGGCUCCCUGAUACAGAAUGCUCUCCAGUGCGCAUGCUCUGAAAGAUCCAGCCCAGCAGAGAACACAAAACGUUCUGGUAACUAUCAAAGGUCAGAUGGAGCGCCACAGAAAUUCACUGAAGGCUGCUAGCCAGGAGACUCAAGAAGGAAUUGUUCAAAAGGAGAACUAUCCAAACAUUGUCCUCUCCCUUUGCAGCCUAAACAGGAAAGAGAACUCAUAGAGCGCCAGUUCUCUGUGGCACUGAAACUCACCCAGCCUGAUUUCUUUAUCCGUAAAACGUGCAAUGUCUACAGCAAAGGUAAGAGCAUUGGCCACGGGGAAGCACUGCCCCACGUGCCCAUUCCAGGAAGGACUGGGUACUGCUCAGC